AGGGAAAGAGGGGGGUAGGCCUAACACAUGCAAGUCGAACGGCAGCACAGUAAGAGCUUGCUCUUACGGGUGGCGAGUGGCGGACGGGUGAGGAAUACAUCGGAAUCUACUUUUUCGUGGGGGAUAACGUAGGGAAACUUACGCUAAUACCGCAUACGACCUACGGGUGAAAGCAGGGGAUCUUCGGACCUUGCGCGAUUGAAUGAGCCGAUGUCGGAUUAGCUAGUUGGCGGGGUAAAGGCCCACCAAGGCGACGAUCCGUAGCUGGUCUGAGAGGAUGAUCAGCCACACUGGAACUGAGACACGGUCCAGACUCCUACGGGAGGCAGCAGUGGGGAAUAUUGGACAAUGGGCGCAAGCCUGAUCCAGCCAUACCGCGUGGGUGAAGAAGGCCUUCGGGUUGUAAAGCCCUUUUGUUGGGAAAGAAAAGCAGCAGGUUAAUACCCCGCUGUUCUGACGGUACCCAAAGAAUAAGCACCGGCUAACUUCGUG
rnacentral:rRNA from 1 species